rnacentral:rRNA from 1 species
AGAGUUUGAUCAUGGCUCAGGAUGAACGCUAGCUACAGGCUUAACACAUGCAAGUCGAGGGGAAACGACAUCGAAAGCUUGCUUUUGAUGGGCGUCGACCGGCGCACGGGUGAGUAACGCGUAUCCAACCUGCCCACCACUUGGGGAUAACCUUGCGAAAGUAAGACUAAUACCCAAUGACGUCUCUAGAAGACAUCUGAAGGAGAUUAAAGAUUUAUCGGUGAUGGAUGGGGAUGCGUCUGAUUAGCUUGGUUGGCGGGGUAACGGCCCACCAAGGCGACGAUCAGUAGGGGUCUGAGAGGAAGGUCCCCCANAUUGGAACUGACGACACGGUCCAAACUCCUACGGGAGCA